UCUAGAGAAUUAAAACAUGGGUUCUUCUUUUGUUGUUUGAUUUUUGUGUUUUUGUGGGCUGUCUGAAAGUAUCCCUUUUUUCUCUCAGAGGUACCAUAGCAUUGCUUUGAGUCAUUGGUGGUGUAGUGUGGUGUUCUACAAAUUAGAUUGCAUGCUUUUCAUAAAGAACUUUUUACAUGUAAUCACAUUCUAAAUAUAUAAAGGAAAUUGCAUGAGGCCAAUUUCGUGGUAUUUUUUUCAUCCAGUUUCAGACUGACUUGUGUGCAUUUUCUUUACAUUCAAUGGCUAAAUAUCAUGUUCAUUUACUUCACAGGUUUUGAGUGCCAGUUAAGCCUCCUUUGAUGCAAGAAAAAUCAUCAGCACUUUAUUAAUGAUGGAUUCUGAUAAUAAACCUGACAAUGAUGAGGAUGAAAAUAUAAACAAGGAACCAAAAGACUUGAGAAGUAUUUCAUCUAAUAAUGACAGUUGUGGGCCUGUGUUUGAUGGGAUAGCACAUUCCUCUGAGAAUUUCACAAGAAAACGAGGUUUUUCAGAGUCAUCCAGCUUGGGCAGGAUUGCUGUGGAGGAAGACAGAAAUAAACAUGCUUCCAAACGAAUGAGAGUAGAGGAGGCAGAGCCCCUUAAAUCUGGGGAGGAGAGCACCUGUGGAUUCAACACUACAAUAAGCUCGGCUUCUGAAGCAGGUGUUUUGUUAGAUGAAGCAGGAAAGGAGACCUUCCUGAAGGACUGCUCAGACAGAGACACAGAUCUUCCAAAUGCCUUUUCAUCCUCUUGUGAUUUUAAAACUGUUGAUGCUGUUUCUCUGAACACAGACACUGAAAGCAAGUUUGCUCAGGAAAUGGUCAAAGAAAGAGAAUCUCCUUUCCCCCUGAAAGAAAUGAGUGUUAGUUGCACCAUUGGAAAUGUAGAUACAGUUUUCAAGUGUAGCAUAUGUGGUCAUUUGUUUUCUUCUCACUCUGAUUUGGAAAAACAUGCUGAAUGUCUUGGGCAGCAGGCUAAAAAACAUGCCUGCUGUCACUGUAGCCACAAAGCAGAGAGCAGCACAGCUCUCCAUAUCCAUAGCAAACACACACAUGGGGCACAGAAAGUCUUUUCUUGUGAUCUUUGUGGCUUCCAGUGUGGGGAAGAAAACCUGUUGAAUGCACAUUAUCUUGGUAAAACACAUCUCCGGCGACAGAAUCUUGCUGCUCGUGGAGGGUUUGUACAGAUCUUAACAAAACAACCUUUUCCUAAAAAAACAUGUACCAUGGGAACAAAGAAUAUUCAAGCAAAACCAAGAACAAAGAAUGGGAAUCCAAAAGGAUUACACAACCCUGGGAGCAAAUUUAAAGAUUGUGGAGGAAGCAUUUCUCAGCAUAGCAGUAGCAGCAGUGAGCUCCUUGUUGAAGUGGUGCCAUCUAAUAAUACUUUAUCAGAAAAAGCAGAGAUUGUUGAAGAAAAUGAUACCUCUCUUGGUACAGCUAGAAAUCUUGAAGACCAGAGUAAAAAGCUAGGAGAUGUAAUCUCAGAGGAUCUUUUAGAUAAAUCAGAAUCUACCAAAAAUAUCCUACAGACUGUACAUAGUAUCAGUAUCACCUCCAGGCCAAGGCCUGAGAGAAACAUUCUAGUGUUGGGUAAUAGCUUUCGGCGACGAAGUGGCACUUUUAUCUUGAAGGGCCAGGCAAAGAAAAGGUUUAAUCUUUCUGGAAUUAAUAAAAGAGGCACAAAUGAAACUCAGAGGAUGUAUAUGAAACAUUUUAGAACGCCCAUGAAAACAAGUGAUGCAGAACCAAUGUCGAAACACCAAGAAUUGAACAGUGAUGUCCAGAGUCUGUGCGUGACUGCCUCAGACACCCAGAAAAUGAUACAGAACAAGAUAAACUCCCAUCUUCCAAGUUCUGUGCAGCUGAACUCCCCGACAGUGAAGCCAGCUCUUGACCACCAGAUGGUGUAUACGUGUACAGAGUGUGGUCAGAUAGCUACAAAUAGGACAGAUUUGGAAAUCCAUGUGAAAAGGUUCCAUUCAAAAGAGAUGAAAUUUUACUGCCAGACUUGUGACUUUUCUGGUACUUCAAGGAGGGAUUUAGAGGAACAUUUGCACAAUAACCAGCAUCAACAAACUGAUUCUGUCCUAAGUUGUCAAUGUUGUUCCUUUAUUUCUCUGAAUGAGAUAAAUCUUAGAGACCACAUGAAGGUAAAGCAUGGGAUGGGUUUUUUUUGCCACUCUUGUAAUCUGUUUUUGUCUGAGAAAGACAUGGAAGAGCACAGUGCAACUGAGAAACAUAUUAGUUUAUUGGUUCAACCAAAGACUUCUCCAUCGUUGAACAAUGACUUGGUUUUACAGACCUUACCUUUAAGUACUUUGGAAUUAGAAAACACAAAAAAGUCUAUGAAUGAAUCAGGGAAAGCAGCUCAAGAAGAACCUGUUAAGUCCAGGGUAAGCCAUGGAAAUGAGGUAAGGCACUCAAGUAAGCCUCAGUUUCAAUGUAAGAAGUGUUUUUAUAAAACUAGAUCUUCCACUGUUCUCACAAGACACAUAAAGCUUCGGCAUGGUCAGGACUAUCAUUUUCUUUGUAAAGCAUGCAAUCUUUAUUCAUUGAGCAAAGAAGGAAUGGAGAAACACAUUAAAAGAAGCAAGCAUCUUGAGAAUGCCAAGAAAAAUAAUAUUGGCUUAAGCUUUGAAGAAUGUAUUGAAAGGGUAUGUAUUGGUGCAAAUGAUAAAAAAGAAGAGUUUAACAUUUCUGGUAAUGGAAGGAGUGAAGGCCACAUAGGUGUGCAAUUAGAAGAACAUACCUAUCUUGAGAAGAGCAUACCAGCUCCUAAGGAACUGUCACAGUCUGGAGUCAUUACUAAAGAUGCUGAAUUAGCAUUGACCACUACUCCAAAGAGAGGGAGACCCAAAGGCAAUGUCUCAAGGACCUGUUCACAUUGUGGUCUUUUGGCCUCCAGUAUUACAAAUUUGACUGUUCAUAUUAGACGUAAACACAGUCACCAGUAUAGCUAUUUAUGCAAAGUAUGUAAAUAUUAUACUGUAACUAAGGGAGAUAUGGAGCGUCAUUGUGCCACCAAGAAACAUAAAGGACGAGUGGAAAUAGAAGCAAAUGGGAAACAAAGUUCAGAUAUCAUUGUUGGUCCUGAAGGGGGAAAUCUUGAAGCCUGUAAAAAGAAUACCCAAUCAGCAUUGAAUAUUUCAGAUGAACGUGCUAACAAGUCAGUGGAGUCAGAGACCUCUGUUUCAGAAAAGCCAGUAAAUGAUCAUGGAAAUCCAAUUGAAGUUGAAAAUGUAUUUCAUUCUGUAGAUGGAGAAGUUACUAGGCAUCUUACUAAUAAAAAGGAACAAAUAUCUCUAGAGGCAGAGGACCUCCAACAGGGUGAUGCAUGUUCCCAGAGAGAUAUUACAGGUACAAGUGAUAAUAAAUGUCUGCACUGUGAGUUUAAUACUCACUCUUCUGCUUCUCUAGAGCUGCAUGUGAAACGGAAGCAUACAAAAGAAUUUGAGUUUUAUUGCAUGGCCUGUGAUUACUAUGCAGUGACUCGUCGAGAGAUGACAAGGCAUGCAGCAACAGAGAAGCACAAAAUGAAAAGGCAGUCUUAUCUGAACUCUUCUAAUGUAGAAGCAGGUUCUACAGAAGUGUCCAAAGACAUUGUCAUAACUGAAGAGGAGCAGUCACAGAACACUGAAGAAUUUCAGAUAAUUUCAGACCAAACAUCUGAUAAUCUGAAAUCUAGAAAUGCUGCCAGUUGUUCUCUUUUAGAUGAGAAUACUAAUUUAGAUAUGUCUAAAGUACUCUGUCCUCCUGACUCUGUAGAAAUUGAAACUGAAGAAGAAUCUAAUCUCAAUGAUGACCGUUCCUUUUGUGAGACUUUCCAACAGUCCCUUGCCAAGGAGAAAGGUAUUAAACCUGAGAGGGUAUCCCUUAAUAUUUCCUCUAGUUCUGGCUCCUCAAGUGGAUUUCAAAAUAAAAAUUCAGGAAGCUUAGAUUUGAAUUGUGAGACUGGAAAGAAAAACCAUGAUAUGUUGAAUGACAUAACUGCUUCAAGUACACAUUGUGAAAGCAAUGAAGGAAGUGCAAAAAGUAGCAGAGGUGAAGUUCUCGACAAACACUUGUGUCCUAGAGUCCUCACUGGGGGGCAGUCAGCCGAAGGUACUACCUCUAUGGUGAUGAGAACACCAAAAGAGCAGGUAAAUCUAGGUGGCAGUAAUCAGAACAAAGUUGGAUGUGCACACAGUUCAGAAGAUUUGAAAGAUAUGCAAGCAGAUCCUGUCCUGGAGAAUAAGGAAAUUCUGAUGAAUUCACAACAUGAAACUGAAAUUAUUUUAGAAGAAGAUGGCCCAGCUUCUGAUAGCGGAGUUGAACGUAAUGAUGUUUACGAAACUAUAAUCAGUAUUGAUGAUAAAGGGCAAGCCACGUACAGUUUUGGCCAGUUUGAUUCUUCUAUAAUUAGAAUAAAGAAUGCUGAAGAUGGUGAAUUGAUAGACCAACCAGAAGAGGGUCUGCUGUCAAUGGGAGUGAGAAUUAGUGAGUUGCCCUUUAAAGACUGUGCUCAAGGCUUGAAAAAGAAGAAAGUUGAAGGUAGUUCCUUUAGUGAGUCCACACGAAUCCGUUGUGAUGAUUGUGGCUUCUUAGCAGAUGGACUGAGUGGAUUGAAUGUCCACAUAGCCAUGAAACAUCCUACAAAAGAGAAACACUUUCAUUGUUUACUCUGUGGGAAAUCAUUCUAUACAGAAAGCAACCUUCACCAGCAUUUGGCUAGUGCUGGUCAUAUGAGAAAUGAACAGGCCAGUGUGGAAGAGCUUCCAGAAGGAGGGGCUACCUUUAAAUGUGUCAAGUGUACAGAGCCCUUUGAUUCUGAACAAAAUUUAUUUCUACACAUUAAAGGACAGCAUGAGGAAUUGUUGCGAGAGGUGAAUAAGUAUAUAGUGGAAGACACUGAGCAAAUCAACCGCGAGAGAGAGGAAAACCAAGGAAAUGUUUGCAAGUACUGUGGGAAGAUGUGUCGAAGUAGCAAUUCAAUGGCCUUUCUGGCUCACAUUCGCACGCAUACAGGAUCAAAACCAUUCAAGUGCAAGAUAUGCCAUUUUGCAACAGCUCAGCUUGGAGAUGCCAGAAACCAUGUGAAAAGGCACCUUGGAAUGAGGGAAUACAAAUGUCAUGUCUGUGGGGUUGCUUUUGUAAUGAAGAAGCACUUAAAUACUCAUCUACUAGGCAAACAUGGAGUUGGCACACCAAAAGAAAGGAAAUUUACAUGCCAUUUGUGUGAUAGAAGUUUCACAGAGAAGUGGGCCUUGAACAACCACAUGAAACUGCACACAGGAGAAAAGCCUUUUAAGUGUACCUGGCCCACAUGCCACUACUCAUUCCUUACAGCCUCCGCAAUGAAAGACCACUACAGGACGCACACAGGCGAGAAGUCGUUUCUGUGUGACCUCUGCGGCUUUGCUGGCGGAACACGGCAUGCCCUCACCAAGCACCGCCGGCAGCACACAGGAGAAAAACCUUUCAAAUGUGAUGAGUGUAACUUUGCCUCCACAACCCAGUCCCAUUUGACUCGACAUAAGCGUGUGCACACCGGAGAGAAGCCCUACAGAUGCCCCUGGUGUGACUACAGGUCAAACUGUGCUGAAAAUAUCCGCAAACACAUUUUACAUACUGGCAAGCAUGAAGGAGUCAAGAUGUACAACUGCCCCAAAUGUGACUAUGGGACAAAUGUCCCUGUGGAAUUCCGCAACCACUUGAAAGAACAACAUCCUGAUAUCGAAAACCCUGACCUCGCUUACUUACAUGCUGGCAUUGUGUCCAAGUCCUAUGAGUGCCGUCUGAAGGGACAAGGAGCCACCUUUGUGGAAACAGACAGCCCUUUCACUGCUGCCGCACUUGCAGAGGAGUCUCCAGUCAAAGAGAAGUCUCUUAGGAAUAGCAGGAGGCAGGCUGAGCCCCCUGAGCAAGUCCAGCAGGUCAUCAUCAUCCAGGGGUAUGACGGGGAGUUUGCCCUUGAUGCCUCCAUGGAGGAAACAGCUGCAGCCACACUGCAGACACUGGCAGUGGCUGGCCAGGUGGCGAGGGUGGUGCACAUCACAGAAGAUGGGCAGGUCAUCACCACAAGUCAGAAUGGGGCACACAUGGGCAGCGUAGUGCCCGGACCUGUUCUCCCUGAGCAGCUGACAGAGGGGGCCACCCAGAUGGUUGUCGUUGGGGGCUCAGUGGAAGGUCAUAGUAUGGAUGAGUCCCUUGAUCCAGGUGGCUCUGUGAUACAGCAGGUGACCAAACAGGAGGUUUUAAGUCUCUCAGAGGGUGGAGUUCCUCCACCUGAUGCCUCUUCAGCCUUAGAUGCAUUGCUAUGUGCUGUCACUGAGUUGGGGGAGGCAGAAGGUAGGGCUGGGCAUGAGGAAAAGGACAGGCCUGACCACAAGGAUGUGCUGAUCCAACUGCCCAGUCAGGAAGCACUGCACGCAACUCCCGACCCUGAAGCCCCAGAGACCCAGAUGUUCCAAGAUGCUCAGGAGAGUCCAGCCGCUGUGGAGGUGCUGACCCAGGUUGUCCGGCCCUCAGCCAUCAUCGCAUCUCAGGAGCGGGCUCAGGUGGCCUUCAAGAAGAUGGUCCAAGGAGUCCUCCAGUUUGCUGUGUGUGACACUGCCACAACUGGCCAACUCAUCAAGGAUGGCGUUACCCAAGUCAUCUUGAACGAGGAAGGCACUGUCCACAUGGUAGCUGGGGAGGCCUCCCAGUUCAUCAUGCAGGAAGCUGAGGCCCACAGCCUGCGGGUGCCAGCUGAGCACGUGGACCUGGUAGAAUCUGAGGGGGAAAUCUCGCAGAUCAUUGUGACGGAGGAACUGGUCCAAGCCAUGGUCCGGGAGUCUGGCAGCAACUUUCCAGAGGGUGCAACUCACUACAUUGUGACAGAAUUGCCCCCAGGGGUACAGGAUGAGGCGGGUGUGUACUCUCACACUGUGAUAGAGACCACCAACUCUCAGGAGAUCCUUCAGGCUGGGGCUGCACUCACCUCUGAGGCUAUGGUCCCAAAUGGCACCGAACAGUUGACAAGCAUGGUCAUUUAUACCCAGGAAGGCACCCCGGCAGCGACAGUGAUUCAGAGCCAAAGAGAAAGUAGUGAGCUCCUAGAAGCAUGAAUUACAGCCUCAACGCUGGGCAUAAGGCAGGUGUGCAAAGAUCCCUCUCAAGCUGGCACAGUGUUCCCUGAGCUUUGUAAACCUUUCAAACAGUGAUGACGACAUAACUUCAGACAGUGCUGCACAUGCCCUUCUGGUGGGGGUAACGUCAGCCACCAAAAAGACACACAUGGAAAGCCCAGAGCAAGGCUGGCCAAGAAAGAGUCAGGGCCCUCUGAGAAGGCCGAGGCAGGCAGGCCAGCCCUGUGCCAUGGAGCCUGUCACUGUUUGGUCCUUUGCUCAUGGCUUUCCACCUGUUCCACCACUGCACUGAGGAGAAACAAUUCUCCCUGGCUUUAUCCUACAAAUGUUGUCCCAUUUCAGUCAUCAAAAGAUGGUCCCCAUGGUGGGAAAUAGGUAAGAAAUGUCUCCUAAAGCCUCAGCCUCUUAGCUCCAGCUGCCUGGCAUGCAGCUCUGUCAUCGUUUCCUUAUGCGUUUAGUCAUAGAUUGCAGCUGCUGUGAUUGCAUCCUGAAGCAGGCCAUCCCAUUCUUUUUUUUUUUUUUUUUUUUUUUUGUUCUUUGGUGUGGUUAGUCUUCUAAAUCAGGUAUAAUUAAAAAGAAAAUCCUGUGUUUUUUUUUUUUUUUUUUUUUUUAAAUUUUAGGAUAAAGGCAUCACCAGACCAAAGGAAGCCUGUUAAUUUGUUUCAUAUAUAAAUUUCCUCUUUUCAAACAUUUUAGGUGUCCCCUUUGCUCUGGUCUCAUACUACAUAAAAGAAAUCUUACUCCUUGAGUAAGCCUUGAAGUUUAUAUUCAGUUAAAUUAUCCCUUAAUUAAGACAACUGAUGCUUCUAAUUUUGACUUAGUUUCAUAUCCUAAAUCUAUAUUUGAAAUGUACACUCUGGAAAAUAUUGUCUAUAUCAAUAUUUUGCUUUUUAUAAUAAAUGUUCAUAUUGAUAUCAUUUUGCAGAUUUAUUUGUAAUUAUAUCAGUAUGCAAAAGCUGACAUUGAUCAUUAACAAAUAGAAACUGCAAUCCUGUGGCCCUCGCUCUGACCAGCAUUGUCUGUUUAGUUAUGGAUUCACUCAACAGUUGAAUGCAAGUUUAUGUUUCAGUAAUUUGUUUCUUGAUACUAUUGGUCUUAUUUUUUUCCCAAAUUGUAAAAUAAUCUCCUCCCUCAAAGGCAAAAGUUGUUUUUGUUCUGUUUGUUUUCUUUGAAAUAAAAUUAAAGCAUUAAAACAUAAUGACUUGUUUUUCUGAGUGGCCAGCUAGCCAUUGUGCAUCAGCGAGAACUCACAAGACCCAUACCUGCCUGGGUGGUUGCACCCUCUCUCCUCUACUGUCUUUCAGAUGGUGUCUCCCGCAGCCUGAUACUGUUUUAUGAAUGCUUAGCAAAUGGCCCAGGCACAUUUUGGCAACAAUAACAUACUCUUAUCUUGGUUAGAACCUAGAAAAUGUGGAGAGCAGACAUGAGAGGAAAAGAAGCUGGUCCUGUCUUUGUGUCAGUAAAGUACCCUUUAAUAUCUCUUCCUGGGGUCUAGGGGUGCAGCUCAGUGGUUAAGUGCUUGCCUACCAUGCCUGUGGUCAUGGGUUUAAUUCCUAGCAUGGGAGCAAGGGGAUUCCCUCCCUGAGACAACAGGGGAAGAGAACUGGCCUUUUGCUCUGUUCCUGGUUUCCUCUCUGUGCUUUGAGUUCAUCCCAAUCCCUAUCCACAGCCACCCGUCCAAAAUUAUAGGAAGGAAAACUUCAGAUUUGACACCAAGAUUCAUAAUUAGCUGAGUGUGAUUAUCUCAUGUUUCCUAAAAAUGGCAGGGCUAUUCAGCCCUUCUUAAACAGUCUUCUGCAAACAAUGACAGGAUCAACUCUCGUUUGUUAUCAGGAUAGAGGUGACCUUUACAAAGUGAUGGCCCUCUCCAGGCUUCUCAUACAUGUUAAAAAAAAAAGGAGGGGGAGUGCUUUUCAGUGGAAAUAUUUCUUGAUCAUUUCUCCCGUUAGCAGCAGCCCGGCGGCUUCGAUGCUAAUUCCUAACUGUGCUUAGUCCUGUAUGGCUA
rnacentral:lncRNA from 1 species